ACGCUGGCGGCAGGCUUACACAUGCAGUCGAGCGGAGAUGAGGUGCUUGCACCUUAUCUUAGCGGCGGACGGGUGAGUAAUGCUUAGGAAUCUGCCAUUUAGUGGGGGACAACAUUCCGAAAGGAAUGCUAAUACCGCAUACGUCCUACGGGAGAAGGCAGGGGAUCUUCGGACCUUGCGCUAAAUGAUGAGCCUAAGUCGGAUUAGCUAGUUGGUGGGUAAAGGCCUACCAAGGCGACGAUCUGUAGCGGGUCUGAGAGGAUGAUCCGCCACACUGGGACUGAGACACGGCCCAGACUCCUACGGGAGGCAGCAGUGGGGAAUAUUGGACAAUGGGCGGAAGCCUGAUCCAGCCAUGCCGCGUGUGUGAAGAAGGCCUUUUGGUUGUAAAGCACUUUAAGCGAGGAGGAGGCUACUAGUACUAAUACUACUGGAUAGUGGACGUUACUCGCAGAAUAAGCACCGGCUAACUCUGUGCCAGCAGCCGCGGUAAUACAGAGGGUGCGAGCGUUAAUCGGAUUUACUGGGCGUAAAGCGUGCGUAGGCGGCUUUGCAAGUCAGGGGUGAAAUCGCGCUUAACUCGGUAAUUGCAUUCGAGAC
rnacentral:rRNA from 1 species